rnacentral:lncRNA from 1 species
GGCAGAGCGCUUGCCUGACAGGCAGAGCUGUGGGUUUGAGCCCCAGUACCACCAUGAAAGAACUGUAACCAACCCACCGGACUCACUCCUUCACUGUUCAUGCGAUUGUGCUUUGUUGGGCAGGGAAGUUAGGGGUCCUCCCAUGCCCUCUGCCAUUGCUGCUCCUAGCCAGUCAGUGGCCAUGAGCUGUGUCACUUGCCAGGUCCUUAGCACUGUGACACCUUAGCACUGUGGGCCAGCCCUGCUGCCACAGAGGUGACGAAGGCAGCUAGACAUGCUGCAGGGAGAUGGUAUGCGUGGAUGGGUGUCUGGGGACUCUGGGAAACAGUGGGGAGCCUGAGUUCUCUCAUACUUUUCUCAGAGACGCCGGAGCUCCCCCGGACCUGGUUCUGCAGUUCCUUCUGGGUGGCUUCUCCUUCCCCAGGAACCUGGUCCAGGCCACCCUCCCAGGCCCCCUGCCCACAGCUGGAAGCAGGGAUGAGCACAAGGACUGUGGCUGGCCCCUGCUCUUCUCUCUGCAGGCAGCUCUGCAGGACAUGAAGACUAAACUUAGAAUGACUGUGGUUUGGUCCUGAGCCUCCCACCGUGACCAGCCUCCCUCUAACCUCACAAGAGCCUGGCAGGGGAUGCCCGUCUCCAGGUCCCCGAGAGGAGACCCAGCCAGCUGAGCUGCAUGUGGACACAGGUGCCGGGGACGUGCUUGGUUGUGAGGGACUUUUUUUUGGGUACUGGGGAUCAAACUCAUGACCUUGCGCAUGUGAGGCAGGCGCAGUGCCACUGAAGUGAAUCCCUGGCCCCAGGAAGAGACUUUUAAAUUGACUUACCUUUAAAUUACCUUCAUUUGCCGCUUUCUUCCUUUUCUGUGGAACUAGAGGUUGAAUCCAAUGCCUUCACUGAGCUUCAUUCUCAGACUUUUUUUUUUAUUUUGAGACAGGGUCUCUC